rnacentral:rRNA from 1 species
UACGUAGGGUGCGAGCGUUGUCCGGAAUUAUUGGGCGUAAAGAGCUCGUAGGCGGCUUAGUAAGUCGGCGGUGAAAUACCGAGGCUCAACCUCGGCACUGCCGUCGAUACUGCUAUGGCUAGAGUUUGGUAGAGGAGAACGGAAUUCCCGGUGUAGCGGUGGAAUGCGCAGAUAUCAGGAGGAACACCAAUGGCGAAGGCAGCACUCUGGGACGGUACUGACGCUGAGACGCGAAAGCGUGGGGAGCAAACAGG